ACGCUCGUCGAGUACUCGACGGCAAACGGCAACCCUACCGCGAGUUUGAUUUGAUUUCCGUCCGUUGUGAACUGUCACUGUCAACAAAAUCUUGUUGAGUCUCGCGGGUCUGGUCUCGCGUUAAAACACUGCACGAAUUUAUCCUCUUAUCCAUGGUGAUCUGAAUAAUCCCUUUAAAAAUAUGGCCAGCCAAAUAGACGAUCUGGAGCUUGCUGCACUAGAAGCAAGACAAGGCCUUGCCGAGCGUCGCGCAGGUCGCCCCAAAGUUUGCUCAAACAUAUACAUGAAGACAUUAAAGUGUGACUUAACAACCUCUAUGACUUUCAAGGUUGAUACAAGAUCAAAAGUUCAAGUAUAGCUGAAUACAAUGGUCGUGAACUCAUAGAGAAUCUUGGCUUGCUUAAAAAGAUGAGUCUUUCAUAUGAGAAACUUGAUAGCCUGGAAGAAUACUUAACUCAAGUUACCAAGGCUUUAAAUAUCAUCAGCCAGAAUAAACCCAAAAAAAUGGUUUCUGGCGAUCAGUGCUUCAAUUGAAACCUUGAAGAUACUUUAAGGACACACCUUCCUACGCCAUCCUUUCAUCAUUCAUUUGUAUGAGCCAAUAAACAUUAGUUGAUGCUGUUGUUCAAUAAUUUUUGCAAUUUCAUAGAAAAAUAUUUCAUUCAUAUUUAUUCAUGUUUAUAUACAAAUCAUUCCCUUUAUGUUCCACUUUUAUUUGAUUAAUUUGAACUUGUUGAUGUAUAUAUGAAAUAUAUAACACAUUAUAAUAAUA